rnacentral:rRNA from 1 species
GGUGGAUGCCCUGGCAGUCAGAGGCGAUGAAGGACGUGCUAAUCUGCGAUAAGCGUCGGUGAGGUGAUAUGAACCGUUAUAACCGGCGAUUUCCGAAUGGGGAAACCCAGUGUGUUUCGACACACUAUCAUUAACUGAAUCCAUAGGUUAAUGAGGCGAACCGGGGGAACUGAAACAUCUAAGUACCCCGAGGAAAAGAAAUCAACCGAGAUUCCCCCAGUAGCGGCGAGCGAACGGGGAGGAGCCCAGAGCCUGAAUCAGUGUGUGUGUUAGUGGAAGCGUCUGGAAAGGCGCGCGAUACAGGGUGACAGCCCCGUACACAAAAAUGCACAUAUUGUGAGCUCGAUGAGUAGGGCGGGACACGUGGUAUCCUGUCUGAAUAUGGGGGGACCAUCCUCCAAGGCUAAAUACUCCUGACUGACCGAUAGUGAACCAGUACCGUGAGGGAAAGGCGAAAAGAACCCCGGCGAGGGGAGUGAAAAAGAACCUGAAACCGUGUACGUACAAGCAGUGGGAGCCUCUUUAUGGGGUGACUGCGUACCUUUUGUAUAAUGGGUCAGCGACUUAUAUUCUGUAGCAAGGUUAACCGAAUAGGGGAGCCGAAGGGAAACCGAGUCUUAACUGGGCGUUAAGUUGCAGGGUAUAGACCCGAAACCCGGUGAUCUAGCCAUGGGCAGGUUGAAGGUUGGGUAACACUAACUGGAGGACCGAACCGACUAAUGUUGAAAAAUUAGCGGAUGACUUGUGGCUGGGGGUGAAAGGCCAAUCAAACCGGGAGAUAGCUGGUUCUCCCCGAAAGCUAUUUAGGUAGCGCCUCGUGAAUUCAUCUCCGGGGGUAGAGCACUGUUUCGGCAAGGGGGUCAUCCCGACUUACCAACCCGAUGCAAACUGCGAAUACCGGAGAAUGUUAUCACGGGAGACACACGGCGGGUGCUAACGUCCGUCGUGAAGAGGGAAACAACCCAGACCGCCAGCUAAGGUCCCAAAGUCAUGGUUAAGUGGGAAACGAUGUGGGAAGGCCCAGACAGCCAGGAUGUUGGCUUAGAAGCAGCCAUCAUUUAAAGAAAGCGUAAUAGCUCACUGGUCGAGUCGGCCUGCGCGGAAGAUGUAACGGGGCUAAACCAUGCACCGAAGCUGCGGCAGCGACACUAUGUGUUGUUGGGUAGGGGAGCGUUCUGUAAGCCUGUGAAGGUGGCCUGUGAGGGUUGCUGGAGGUAUCAGAAGUGCGAAUGCUGACAUAAGUAACGAUAAAGCGGGUGAAAAGCCCGCUCGCCGGAAGACCAAGGGUUCCUGUCCAACGUUAAUCGGGGCAGGGUGAGUCGACCCCUAAGGCGAGGCCGAAAGGCGUAGUCGAUGGGAAACAGGUUAAUAUUCCUGUACUUGGUGUUACUGCGAAGGGGGGACGGAGAAGGCUAUGUUGGCCGGGCGACGGUUGUCCCGGUUUAAGCGUGUAGGCUGGUUUUCCAGGCAAAUCCGGAAAACCAAGGCUGAGGCGUGAUGACGAGGCACUACGGUGCUGAAGCGACAAAUGCCCUGCUUCCAGGAAAAGCCUCUAAGCAUCAGGUAACAUCAAAUCGUACCCCAAACCGACACAGGUGGUCAGGUAGAGAAUACCAAGGCGCUUGAGAGAACUCGGGUGAAGGAACUAGGCAAAAUGGUGCCGUAACUUCGGGAGAAGGCACGCUGAUAUGUAGGUGAAGCGACUUGCUCGUGGAGCUGAAAUCAGUCGAAGAUACCAGCUGGCUGCAACUGUUUAUUAAAAACACAGCACUGUGCAAACACGAAAGUGGACGUAUACGGUGUGACGCCUGCCCGGUGCCGGAAGGUUAAUUGAUGGGGUUAGCGGUAACGCGAAGCUCUUGAUCGAAGCCCCGGUAAACGGCGGCCGUAACUAUAACGGUCCUAAGGUAGCGAAAUUCCUUGUCGGGUAAGUUCCGACCUGCACGAAUGGCGUAAUGAUGGCCAGGCUGUCUCCACCCGAGACUCAGUGAAAUUGAACUCGCUGUGAAGAUGCAGUGUACCCGCGGCAAGACGGAAAGACCCCGUGAACCUUUACUAUAGCUUGACACUGAACAUUGAGCCUUGAUGUGUAGGAUAGGUGGGAGGCUUUGAAGUGUGGACGCCAGUCUGCAUGGAGCCGACCUUGAAAUACCACCCUUUAAUGUUUGAUGUUCUAACGUUGGCCCGUAAUCCGGGUUGCGGACAGUGUCUGGUGGGUAGUUUGACUGGGGCGGUCUCCUCCUAAAGAGUAACGGAGGAGCACGAAGGUUGGCUAAUCCUGGUCGGACAUCAGGAGGUUAGUGCAAUGGCAUAAGCCAGCUUGACUGCGAGCGUGACGGCGCGAGCAGGUGCGAAAGCAGGUCAUAGUGAUCCGGUGGUUCUGAAUGGAAGGGCCAUCGCUCAACGGAUAAAAGGUACUCCGGGGAUAACAGGCUGAUACCGCCCAAGAGUUCAUAUCGACGGCGGUGUUUGGCACCUCGAUGUCGGCUCAUCACAUCCUGGGGCUGAAGUAGGUCCCAAGGGUAUGGCUGUUCGCCAUUUAAAGUGGUACGCGAGCUGGGUUUAGAACGUCGUGAGACAGUUCGGUCCCUAUCUGCCGUGGGCGCUGGAGAACUGAGGGGGGCUGCUCCUAGUACGAGAGGACCGGAGUGGACGCAUCACUGGUGUUCGGGUUGUCAUGCCAAUGGCACUGCCCGGUAGCUAAAUGCGGAAGAGAUAAGUGCUGAAAGCAUCUAAGCACGAAACUUGC